rnacentral:rRNA from 1 species
UGAUCCAGAGUACCACGAGACACGUGAAACCUUGUGGGAAGCAGGGAGGACCACCUCCCAAGGCUAAAUACUACCUGAUGACCGAUAGUGAAGCAGUACCGUGAGGGAAAGGUGAAAAGAACCCCGGGAGGGGAGUGAAAUAGAACCUGAAACCGUGUGCCUACAACCGCUCAGAGCCCCUUAUGAGGGUGAUGAGGUGCUUUUUGUAGAACGAGCCAACGAGUUACGGUAUGUAGCAAGGUUAAGUACUUAAGGUACGGAGCCGAAGGGAAACCGAGUCUGAAUAGGGCGACUAGUUGCAUGCCGUAGACCCGAAACCGGGUGACCUAUCCAUGGCCAGGUUGAAGCGAGGGUAAAACCUCGUGGAGGACCGAACCACGUUGCUGUUGAAAAAGCAUGGGAUGAGCUGUGGAUAGCGGAGAAAUUCCAAUCGAACCCGGAGAUAGCUGGUUCUCUCCGAAAUAGCUUUAGGGCUAGCGUCGAGUAUGAGUAGUGGAGGUAGAGCACUGAAUGGGCUAGGGGGCAUAGCGCUUACCGAACCUUAUCAAACUCCGAAUGCCACAUACUUUGAGCUCGGCAGUCAGACUACGAAUGAUAAGAUCCGUGGUCAAAAGGGAAACAGCCCAGAUCGUCAGCUAAGGUCCCAAAGUGUAAGUUAAGUGGGAAAGGAUGUGAGAUUUCUAAGACAACUAGGAUGUUGGCUUAGAAGCAGCCAUUCAUUAAAAGAGUGCGUAAUAGCUCACUAGUCGAGAGAUCUUGCGCCGAAAAUGUAACGGGGCUAAACUUACCACCGAAGCUACGGGCUUGAACAUAGUUCAAGCGGUAGGAGAGCGUCGUAACCGGGCUGAAGUCGUACCGUAAGGAGCGGUGGACUGGUUACGAGUGAGAAUGUUGGCAUCAGUAGCGAGAUGUGGGUGAGAAUCCCACAGGCCGAAAACCUAAGGUUUCCUCAGGAAGGUUCGUCCGCUGAGGGUUAGUCGGGACCUAAGCCGAGGCCGAAAGGCGUAGGUGAUGGACAACUGGUUGAUAUUCCAGUACCACUACCAUCGUUAUUAUCGAUGGCGUGACGCAGGAGGAUAGUGUGUGCUAGCUAUUGGAUGCUAGUCUAAGCGUUUAGGCAGUGAGAGUAGGCAAAUCCGCUCUCAUAAUGCUGAGGCGUGAUGGGGAAGGUUCUACGGAACCGAAGUACAUGAUUCCACGCUGCCAAGAAAAGCGUCUAGAGAGAGAAGUAGUGCCCGUACCGCAAACCGACACAGGUAGGUGAGGAGAGAAUCCUAAGGCCGGCGGAAGAAUUACAGUUAAGGAACUCGGCAAAUUGACCCCGUAAGUUCGCGAGAAGGGGUGCCUACGAGAGUAGGCCGCAGAGAAUAGGCCCAAGCAACUGUUUAGCAAAAACACAGGUCUCUGCUAAAGCGUAAGCUGAUGUAUAGGGGCUGACGCCUGCCCGGUGCUGGAAGGUUAAGGGGAACACUUAGCGCAAGCGAAGGUGUGAACUUAAGCCCCAGUAAACGGCGG